rnacentral:rRNA from 1 species
AUGCCAACUUCCCGGCAGCUGUUGGAGUACAAGGCUCUGGUUCACAUUGGUCGGAUCAGGGAGCACGAGGGGCCAGGGACCUGGUUGCGGCCGUCCAGCUCUGAUGGGAGUGGACAGAGCGGGCUGCCGGACGACUCACACGAUUUUUCCGGCCGAGGAGAGUGGAGAGUCCUGCCAUGGACGCGGGGCGUGCGCGAUCACCGCGGCUCGUCCUAUGGUCACCACGGAGGCACAUAUCGGCAAGCGCUGCUGGGGCGCGUUGGUCCGUCUAGCUGGCGAAUCCCUCCCAUGGCGAUGGGCGUCACUGCUGCUGUGCAGGCACGCGCUGGCACCCCAACGGGGCUGGUUCAGGAGCAUAACCGCGCCGCGGAGGGUGGUGCCCAGCAGGAUAUGACACGGCCGCCGGCGGCGAGGCUGGAGACUGGCGACGCGGAUAAGGACCGACAGGUGGGGCUGACCACGGCCACUGCGGAGAAGGAGGCGGAGGCAACUGACACCCAGUUUCCUUCCGAUCACGUGCCGGGCCCGCAUCCGCUUUCUUUUGAGCCAAGGGAGAUGGAUAAGGAAGUGCGGGAGGGUGGGGCUGCCAUGCUAUUGGCUGAGCCAGGGCAGUUGGCAUCUGUGACUGACAGCGAGACGGGACCUGGAAAGGCGGCGAAUCCCGAGGAGAUCAGCCCUCUCGCAGCUGAGGAGGAGGCCAUUGGCGCCCAGGUGACGGCCAAUCGCGACUCGGCCCUCAUCGCGCUGGGCCAGGUGGAGACGGUCCGCACUGACACAUCUGUCGUGCGCUUUGUGGCGGAGGGGCCACAGGAGCGGGUGGAUCGGGGGCCGACAGCACCACUGGCGACUGAUGGUGGGGGCCCUGCAGCGGAUUCCCUCCGCGUUGCGACCGAGGCGGAUUCGGGAUUGGGCGACCCAUGUGUCGAGGAGCAGCUGGCCAUCGUGACCACGCGGGAUAUGGGACCCGCGGGCCCUGGCGCUGAGAUGACCACGUACGGCGCAUGCAUGCACGACGAGGCGUUGGGGAUCGCUGCACCUCAGGAAGCAGGGACAGAUGUCUGCGCUUUGAGCACCCCUCUCUCAAACAAGGAGAUCAUUGCCCUUGGAAACGUCAAAACCUUUUGUGUUGGGCUGCUUAAGAAACUUGCUCCACCGCUGCUCAAGGAGUUUGAAGGUCUGCAUGGGGUCCGAGCCGGCCAGGACCCGUUCACACCGAGGCGCGCCACCAGGUCGGGCUGCUCAAUAGGGCAUAGGAAGUCCAAGGUAUCGGCUGCGGAAGCGGUUUUACUCAAGGCACUGGGUCUGGAUACUGAGGAUCUGGCGGUCUCCGAGGACGCGCUAGAUCAGCUCCGUACGGUGUUUGACUCGCCCCUCCAAGAGACGCAGUUGAGGGCGAUCGCGGCGAUCUUCGGGAAGGCGAUACCGCUCGACCUAGGAGGUGACUUGGAGAGCACGGCGCCGAUCAUGGUAUAG